GAGUAACACGUGACUAACCUGCCCUUGAGUGGGGGAUAACCUCGGGAAACCGGGGCUAAUACCGCAUAACAUCGCGAGGUGAAAUUCCUUGCGAUCAAAGGAGCAAUUCGCUUAAGGAGGGGGUCGCGGCUGAUUAGCUAGUUGGUGAGGUAAUGGCUCACCAAGGCGAUGAUCAGUAGCCGGCCUGAGAGGGCGCACGGCCACACUGGAACUGAAACACGGUCCAGACUCCUACGAGAGGCAGCAGUGGGGAAUUUUGCGCAAUGGGGGAAACCCUGACGCAGCAACGCCGCGUGGAGGAUGAAAUCCCUUGGGAUGUAAACUCCUUUCGAUCGGGACGAUAAUGACGGUACCGGAAGAAGAAGCACCGGCUAACUCUGUGCCAGCAGCCGCGGUAAUACAGAGGGUGCAAGCGUUGUUCGGAAUUAUUGGGCGUAAAGGGCGCGUAGGCGGUGCGGUAAGUUUGUGGUGAAAUCUCCGGGCUCAACUCGGAAAUUGCCGCGAAGACUGCCGUGCUCGAGUAUGGGAGAGGUGAGUGGAAUUCCCGGUGUAGCGGUGAAAUGC
rnacentral:rRNA from 1 species